UGGGGUGUAGCUCAGUGGUAGAGCACAGCAUGUGCCUAGCCUUCAUAGAGUCCUGGGUUCAAUCCCCAGCAUCCCAA
rnacentral:tRNA from 1 species